UCUCCGUAGGUGAACCUGCGGAGGGAUCAUUACUGAGUGAGGGUUUAACCGCCCGACCUCCAACCCUUUGUGAAUCGUACUCGUUGCUUCGGGGGCGACCCUGCCGCUUCGGCGGUGCGGCGCCCCCGAAGGUCUCCAAACACUGCAUCUUUGCGUCGGAGUUUAAAACAAAUGAAACAAAACUUUCAACAACGGAUCUCUUGGUUCUGGCAUCGAUGAAGAACGCAGC
rnacentral:misc_RNA from 1 species